AUAUCCUGCACGGAAUGCCACCCAGGAGUCAAAGGGGGUGAUUUUUGGUAAUGGACCCUAGGAAACACUGGGGCUUCUUCUUCAGUCCCCAAGGGCUCUCUCUUGGGAUGCCUUUUAACCCACUGGAAACAAUUCAGAUUGCAAAAUUUAGGAAAGAACUGAUCUCCUGUAACACUGCAUGGCAUUAGUAGGAUCUGACAGUCAGAUCUCUUCUGCACAAAACAGGGCAAAUGGUCAGAGAUACCUGAAGUCCAGGUCUUCAGGGCUCUAAAUCAGCACCUGGACCUAAGGGCUUCUUGCAGAAUGUGUUUGCCCAAAUGUAUUUGGCUAGUAAACUCCCUCCUGACAUAUUGGAUGAUAAUUAUCUAACUAGGCCUCCUCCUGAUAGAACUCAGGUUGCUGAGGAAACCCAGGCCAUCCCUGACCAUGGGGACACUGACUUUCUCUCUCUGUUCCUCCUAAUAGAUGUGAGGGCUUCUCCCUCAUUCAUUUCCUGGGUUAAUGGCUAUGACAACUGGAGCCAACUGCGGUUAGUCUAACUCAGGACAGGGACGUUAAGGAAUAUUCCCGAGCAGCUGCCAAAACUCCCUUUGUUUCAGGGAAAUUCCCUGUCUUCUCUGGCCUGACAUGGACUUCAUAUUUCUGCUUUGGUGGAAAAAAAGAAAGAAAAAAUAAGUAAACAUGCCAUCAACUCCCCUGUCUGAGCUGACAAGGUUUAGAACUGGAAAUCCUCUUUCUUGGCCUUCUGCUAGCACCUUGCCUCUUCUACCUUCCCCUCCCCCUCCUCCUAUUUCUGCACCACCUUGGGUGCAGCCUGCAUAACUGGUUCCUACAGCAUCUUCAGUGCCUCAGAACCAUUGGCUCCUCCUCUUCCCACCCUCAAUAUCAAGGAGCAGAGAGCAACCUCCUUGGAGCGCCCACUUCAGAUUUCCCUUCCUGUGUCCCAGGAGGUUCAGGCAUGUUGUCCACAUUGGAUUCAGCUGCCUCCGCCUUCGUAACUUCUCUACACCUUCCCCGACUGACCAAUAUUGACCCAUAGGUAGGGACAACUCUACACCCCUACCCAGCAGGAAGAAGCUACGGAAGAUGAGACCUUCCACCUUCAGCAACUGUAAAGACUUAAGGGUCAAAAUUAUGCAGGGGGGAUAUGAUGAGGGAGCAUAAGGCAGGCUGAGGGCAAAGCACCCCCACCCCAGGUGGGACAGGGGUGAUAUUCCUCAGGUAGUCCUGGCUGCCCCAGAACAAAGGAAAGGACAGAAAACAAAUGGUUGAACUGAUAGCGAUCACAGGAACUGAGUCUCCAUCAGUUUACAAAUAGCUUAGUAAAUGACAAGAAAAAGGCAAUCUUAUCAAUAGCUUAAUCUCCAGAAGCCUAUAGCCUCAACACCACCCUCCCCUCUGUAGUGAUGUGCGGAACAAAGGCAAGAAGGAAAUGGCAGGUAAAAUUGAAUUUGCUUAUAAUCUGCUGCCCGCGGGACCUAUCCCCGGGCUUUAAUAAAACCACCUUUUUCCAC